rnacentral:rRNA from 1 species
UACGGGGGGAGCAAGCGUUGUUCGGAUUUACUGGGCGUAAAGGGCACGCAGGCGGUGCGGCGCGUUUCGCGUGACAGCGGAGGGCUUAACUCUCCGAGGAUGCGAAAGACGGCGGCACUUGAGGGCCAGAGAGGGACACGGAAUUCCGGGUGGAGUGGUGAAAUGCGUAGAGAUCCGGAGGAACACCGAAGGCGAAGGCAGUGUCCUGGCUGGUGACUGACGCUGAGGUGCGAAAGCUAGGGGAGCGAACGGG